GUUCGCGGGCGCAGGCUGGGAGGCGGGGUUCCUGACUCACUGCGGCACUGGCAGGGCUGGUGACAGCACCACCCCCGCGCCGCCUGCAAUCUGCCACCGCUGCCACCGAGCCGAGGGGCGCCAGCAAGGCAUCCCCUGGGUCAAGGGGCCUCCCGUGGGCUUUCCAAACAGCCUGUGCUCAUUUCCGCGGGAGCCCUCGGGGCGCUGUGCUGUGGCUGCAUUGUCACUGUUUGUUUAUUUCUACAUCUGCUCUGUUAGAAGAUAGGCUCGCUUAGGACAGAGCCUUCUAAUCCACCCCCUGAUGAAUUCGGGCCCUCGCCUUUGGCACAAUGCCUGGCGUCAUCACAACUCGGGUGAUCAGUAAACGGCAGCGAAGGAAGGGGGGUCAGGACUGGAGAGGAGAGGGGGAGGAAGACAGACGACCGGAGAGGAACAAAAAUGGAAGGUAACUUGAGCUUUCAUAACUGCAGAAGUGCAAAACAGCUCCCUGUGUGAUAUAGGAAGUAAAACCGUAGAGAUGGGACUUGGCUGGCCUGCGCUUCACACACUUCAGACAUUAACCCAAAGUUCAUGCUCCUGCCAUGACAGUGAUGGUGGACAGGAGGGAAGAAAAUGACAAGGAGGAAAGGAGGUGUCUUUUGCUCUUAAAAAUGAGAAGGGUCAUAAACAAUCCAUCGGCUGCAAACCACGAGUUGCCCCCAAAGCAAAGCAGGUUAGUGGCUGCUGCCGCCUCAUCAUAGCUUCAGAACCCACAGAGCCUGGAGGACUGUCAGACAUUAUCUAAUAUCCCAUUUUACAGACGAGGAAACUGAGGUUGAGGCACGAACGCAGACAGGAAUCAAGGUUUUGGGGUUGGGAUUUGCAAUCCAUUACUUUGCCUCCUGCAUCCACUGCUUUUCCCUGGGCAUUCUCUUCUUCCGGUUUCUUGGAAGUUAAAAUUGGGAGAGAAGCAACACAGAGUGGUUUUCCCAGGGCCUCGACCUCGGUAAGGGAAGACGUGGAAUUCCCAGUGUGGAGACCCAGACAGCCUCCGAAACCCCCACGCAACCCUGGGCGUUCAGCAGCUGCCAAUGCCCGCCUGACAAGUUUCUGGGGCAUCUCUGCACACGGAGAGGUGUGUCUCCUGCAGCUCCAAAAACAGAUUUUGCCAUCUCAUCCCCAUAUUUGCAGUCUCCAGUUGGCUUCUUGUGAUUGGCCAGAACUUUUCCUCACUGGAGAGAUGAGGAGAAUCCAGUCCUCCAACCAGCUGACAGAAAACACUGCAGUAGCAGAGAUAGCAAUGGCUGUUCCACCCCACACUGAUACGAUGUCAGGGAGCCAGGGGUGGGCUCAACAGGCUGAAUGAUGCCAGGGACUCCCAAGGGUCUAUACAUUUAACCCUGGAGGAAGUGGCCUCUGACCAGAACAAGUAAGAAUGGACAGAGGAAUACCAUGUGCUGACUGACGAACGCCUGGGUUUCUGAACCAAUUGCCAUCAAGGGGAUUGGGAUUACCAUAAUUUUUGCUGAGACUAAGCCCCACCCCAGUAACCAAAGGCUUAUGGGUGGAAUGCAAGCUAUUGGAAGUAUUUGAAGAUGUGACCAAGGAAGCUAUGAGAAUUGGAAAUGAGGCAGUUGUUUAGAAACGGGCUGAUGUGCUUGUGGCAGUGUUUCAAGAACCCAGCUCCACUCAUCCUAUGAUGCCACCAUCCUCAGCAUUUGGCUUCCAUGGCUCCUGGCUUAGCACAGAGGCUGGCACCUAUUAGACCUAAGAAGGAUUGGCAACUCUGGACAAAUCAGAGAAGAAGCAUUGUCAACUCUUUUCUCCUGGUGAUGAUGAUGGUGAUGGUCAAUGUCCACUCCCAAAUAUCUAUAUUGGGAAGAGCUGGUUUGUAGGGUGAGCAUUUGUCUUUUGAGUGUAUACUUGAGGGAGAGAUGAAAUUAUGUUUGUUUUAUACUCUAGAAAAAUUGGCUAAAACAGCAAAUGUAAUUUUACAUAAUGAUGGAGAGGGCAUACUGAGGUGGGAGGCAAAUAAUAGAAGGAGAUGUAAAACUGUCAACCUUGAUCCCCACAGUGAUGGGGGAUGAUGACAGCAGGAGUAAGUUAUGGGAUGAUUGUAUGUUUGUGAACCUCAGUUCUUCUGCAGCAUGAGCUGGCAGGAUCCUCUCCUUGACCACCUCAGGUGACCUGCUGGAGCCCAUAGGUCUCACCAGGAGAGGGUGUCGGGCCACCAAACCAACUGAUGUAAUAGUUCUUCUUGAGGACAGUCUCUAGCUCGCCCUCUAUCCCAUCCCACAGUCCAAAAAUGCUACCCAUCAUGGCCUAACCCAGAGUCUACUCCCAAAUAAGUGAUUCUGCAAGUUGCUAGAAUUCAAAGAUGCUCACACCCCAGAAUUAGAAAACAUCACUGUGGCAGUUUCAGGUUCUCAGCAAGCAGACCAAGAAUGCACAGGUGAGCUUCCUUUAUUUCAAGUUAAGGACGCAUUUUCGGUUUUUAAAGUUCAACAAUAAUAAAAUCAGUUGAAAGCCCAACUUCUAGAGCAGUGCUAUUCAAUAUACUAGCACUGGCCUGUGUCGCUAUACAAAUUUAAACCAAUCAAAACUCAACAAAAUUUAAAAUGCAGUUCCUCAGUGGCAGUAGCCACAUGUUAAGCACUAAAUGGCCACAUGUGGCUAGUUGUCACCUUAUUGGACAAGGCAGCUGUAGUAUAUUUCUGUCAUCACA